GGAGCCUUUCUGGAGCCCUGACGGGGCAGCCCACCGAGGUCUGCUUCUGUGAGGGACUGAGGCAUCCUCCCCGAAGACUCUCGCCCUACCUGGCUUUUAUGAAAAAAGUUGUCAUGUCAGGGAGGCCCACAUGGCAUAAAACUGAGGGUAUUCACUGGACAGCCACUAGCUAGGAAUUGAAGCCCUCAAUUCAACAUCCCAAAGGAACUGAAUCCUGCCAAUGACUGUCUAUAUGAACUUGGAAGAAGAUCCUUUCCCAGUCAAACCUUCAGAUGAGAUUCUAACCCUGGCCAACACCUUGCAUUGCUUGCUCAUGAGAGACCUUACAGCAGAGGCCUCCACUAAGCCAUUCACAGAAAAUGUGACACAAUGGCAGCACAGUUUUCACAGCCCUUUCUCUGAUCCUACACCUUGACAACAAAGGAAAGAGGAUGCAUAAUGAUGUUGGAAAACAAGCUCACCUGCACACAGUUACUACCUUGGCACAUUUCUGGGAGCAGGAACAAGCUAAUAGUCCUCAAGGUCAAUGAAUUAUCUUCCUCCACUCCACUGAAAUAUCUAAGGUGACAAGUUAAUUGUCUUUCUAAGACAGAAUAUUUCUUGAAUAAAUUAAUUAGCCAGCAUUACUUCCAUUUCUCCUAGGUUAUACAAACAAUUCAGGAUCUAUUCAGAGUAUGGAAGGUGGGACUAAAGAAAAGAAAUGUGUAUAAGCAAAUCAACAAUAAUGGGUUGAUAUUAAUGACCCCUUAAGGUAGAACAAGUCAUUGCAGCACAAAAGACUCUAUCACAUAAAUCCUGAAAUUAGAAAUGUAGAUUCGGGUGUCGGGCAGGUGGGAGAGGGGAGGAGGGGCAUGGCCAAUGUAUGUAACCUUAACAUUUGUACCCCCAUAAUAUGCUGAAAUAAGAAAAAAAAAGAAAUGUGGAUUUGGGGGAGUUUUCCCAUCAAAAAAGAAUUAGUCUUCCAGAGCAGGGACGAAGGAAUGAUAAGACCUAAAAAGAGCCUUUCUAAUUUGCUUUUGCAGUAUAAAAAGGGUUAAAGGUGCGCAUGUUUUCCAUUCCUAGCAGCUUACAAAGUUGAAGCUAGUACCCAGCAAAUGAUCCCCUGAUUCCUCUCUGGACUGACUUUUUCUUGAGGAAAACAAAACUUCAGGAGAGGUAUGUGUCUUCUUGUUCUCUUCCUCAAGGUUGGGAAGUCUGAAGUCUGCCCAGUAGUGUGAAAGGCAAGUGCUCUGGGCGGGUAAAAAUGUUAGCAGUUUGUUCAUUUGGUAGUUAUGAGGUCUUCUGGAAUCGCCUAUUAAAAGACAACCUUAAAAUGGCCAGUAUUUAUUUACAAGGAUAAUGGACAGUUGGUAGCAGAAGAGGAACUGAGGUAUGGGAAUGGAAGAUUCCAAGUGCCUCAAUAUGGUGAAGAGGAGGUGGAGGCCUCCAAAAUCUAUCUCUGAAUGUUUACUUCCUAUUCGUUGCAAGUAUGGACUCUGCUGAGAACCUAAGUCUUCCACACAACAGCUUAAGUCUAAGUCUAUACCUGUUUCCCUGUUUCUUUUUCAUAUGAAUUGCAUAAUAAGAUGUGAUAUAUCAAAACUACAUAAGUUAUAACUCUGAUUUUUAUCACCCUCAAUUUGCUUUCACAUUUUGGGGCAAAGUUUUAUCCAUGUAGAAGUUUCAUUGAGUUUCUAGACACAAAGCAAGAGGCCAAAGUACUUGCCCUUAAUAUCCUUUUUACAGAAACCCUGGAGCUAGCUUCACUGGCAUUGUAUGUGCCCUAAGGCAUUAUUACUUUUUAUGUCACUCAUAUUUUGUAAAUAGAAAGGUCAAUAAAAUCAAUUUCAGAGCCAGGACCAGAGUCUAGGACCCCUGACUCCCACAUAAUGUGAUUCAGUUAACAAGAUAUUGAAAAUAAACAUACUCAAACAAAAAUUAGAUUAACCCUAAAUUGACUUGCAGCUCACUGAUCAUAUGCUUAAUUUGAUUUCCAACCUGAAAUGGAAAAAUCUAAAGCAAGCCUACACGAGUCAUUCAUUAAAGCCCAUGUCACCGCAAACCAAACGCCUCCUUAUCUUCUUUGGCUGUUUAUUUUGUCCCCACGUCUCUCUCAGACACUCCAGAGUUGAACCAGCUUGCCACACCCCAAUUCUGCUGACUCACUUCUCAGUAUAUCUUAUGCGGAGAAAUAGUAUAAACAACAUAUGCUUCUAUUUCUUGUCUUCCUCAGUGAGGUCACACAAUAACAUUCCUUGGAGAAAAAGAACAGACUAAUGCCUCAGUACUAGGAUAAUUUCAGUUGUUUCCCACAUUUGGUUAAAUGUUUCUGUUUGUAAAAGAUCAUAAACAUUUGUGAAAUAGAAAUAAAAGACUUCAGAGAGAAACAGAAAGCAAAUAGUACUUCACAGGGCUGGCUUAAUGCAAAGUACAUCAAAGUAAAUGCACCUGAACUAGUUGUCGUGGAGGCUCAUGGUUUAGAAGACCCUGACUUGGUAUAAUAUGAACAGCAACAUCAAAGCAUUCUUGACUUGAACUAAGAUAUCUGAAAAGACAUGGAUCUUCAGAUCACGGAUGGGGGUGAGGGAUAAAGGAAUCUACAGAGACAGGGGACCUGAUCAAGAAAGUCCUUUUUAUUGUCUAUGGGGCCCUGAAACAUAAGCCAGGCUAAGGACAUCCACAAUAACUUUCAGCCUCAGCUAGACUUUUUUCAGUAAGAGCAGGUCCCUGAAACAGAAGGGCUGCAACUGGACCACACAUCAGGUCAGGAAAAAUAUUCCUACUUUCUACCUUCUGCUCUUGCCUUUGCCCUUGAAGUCCUGGCUUGGAAACCAGGACUUGCUCUGCUAUUUUCACUAGCAGAGGGAAGUUCUUCUCAAAAAAAGUCAAGUGAAUCUAUCUUGAUAAGUACAAUUGAACUAUGCUAAUUUUAGGUGACGUGCCCCCUGUGUUUGUGCCAUGUAUUUAUAAUCAUUUCAAACUGUUUUUAUAAUAAAUUAUUGUAACUUCACUAUAAAUCUCAUGAGUUACUCAAGUUAUCCCUACUUAGCAUUUGGGGAUAUAGGGAUAAAGAGCAUUUAAGUGAAGUACCCAAGGUCUCACAACACAGAACUGGAAGUAGAGCUGGGGUUUCCUGAUUCUUAUUUGUUCACUUUCAGGAACAUCUGAGUUAUACACACACACACACACACA